GGGACAUCAAGUCAAAAGAGGAGAACCCUCAUAAGAACAUCUUACAUAGUUUCAAGAAGAAACUAGCAGGCCACCGGCCGCCGGCGGCGGCUGUCCUGCAUGCAUGUGUUUAUAGAAAUGAGCGUGUGUAUGAGUCGUAUGCGACUGUACUGUGUUAAAACAAACUCAGUCCUGGCCUUUGGCGCCGCCGCUACCUGGCCGGAGGCCGUCGUCCAGUGCCUCCUCUUCGUCCUCGCCGCGGGUAUGCUCGUGGCCCUCCACUCCCUCCCUCGUCGAGUUGCCCAUCGUCUCCGCCGCGGCGCCAGCGGCUCCUCGGCCGCUCAAUCGCGCCGGCACUUCGCGCUGGGUGCCCAGCUCCUCGCCCGCGCGCGAGCAGCUGCUGCGAAGCCCCCGGGCCCGCUCGCCCGCGCGGCCCUCGCCGAGGCCGACCGCGCCAUCGCGCUCGACCCCCGCGACGCAGCGCCGCUGAUCCUCAAGGCCCUCGCCCUCGACCUCCAGGGUCACCGCCUCCCCGCGCUGCGCACCCUCGACGUCGCCUUGGCGCCGCCGCUCGCGCGAUCCCUGGAACCGCGGGAGCGCGGGGACGCGCUCGCCAAGCGCGCCGAGAUCGCGCUAGCGCUUAACCGCCGCCGCCGCCUCGACCAGGCCGCCGCGGAUCUCACCGAGGCCGUGCGCCUUAGCCCCGAGAACCCCCGCGCUCAUGCUCUGCUUGGCGAGUGCUACGAGAGGAAGGGCCUCACUGCCGAAGCCAGGAACUCCUUCAAGACCGCCGCGUCAAUCGACCCAUCUCUGGCUACUGCGCACGACGGCCUCCGUCGGACAGGCGCAGGCAGCGAAGUCAACGAGAGUGACUGAUGACUCGUUUUUAUAUUGUUAUAUAUUUGGGGGUGGAACGAACGAUCCCCUUCAAGACUAAAUAUGGUACAUUAAGGCUUUCUUUUCCUGCUAGAGCUCAGAUGGCGAAUCUUUGUCAUGUAGACAUGUACAGAGGACUAGAACAAUCAUAUCAGUCAUGAUAUAAUUUGUAGUGCACAUAGGGGAAUUUAUUGAGUGUGGUGUUUCUGCAAUACAGGUACACAAUCCAUCUCCACAGCCAUAGGGCAACAAAGUUAAUCAGUUAAUUGUAUCUUUGAUUCUCGCAUUCUACUCUUGGAUGCCUUUAUUAGCAUUUGUUUCACAAAUAAUGGAUUUAUUUCUUUUCUCAUCAUCCUUUUUUUGGAAAAAAAACUUGUAAGGGGACCCCAAACCUAUAGAUAGAAACCUAAAAUUUGCCUGUUCAUCCUUAUUUGUCACUGUUGCAAGGGUGAUCUGUCAGGACCCUACUGAACCAGUAUCUAUAUCAUAUAAGGAAGAUACCGAUUCAGUUAUCUGACGGUAGAACUACUUCGAGCACCAGAUGGAUGAAUGGCUUUGAUCCAUUUUACUUAGUCGCAUUUACUUCAGUUGAUACUGUUUUACUCUGAACUUUCACUAGUCAUUGUUUAUCUUCCUCACCAUUGUAAGCCAGGCUGGCUAUAUGUAUUCUGUUUGAUGCUUGAAUGAGUAGUAAGAAAGGAGGUAAACUAAUUUCUCUAGUGUACCGUAGCUAGAUUUUGCUCCUCCUUCAGGCAAGAUUCCUCGUUCAAUCCCUUAAUCGGGGACGAACCUAUCCAAAAUUCCCCACUUGCGUCUCAGUCCUUACAUGACUCCCUCUGAUCCUACUCACAUUUCUGUUGACAUGAUCCCAUUUUAUCCUAUGAAGGAGAAAACCGGUGCAUGAAUCAUGCAUUUUAUUUAACCUUGACCAUACAGAAGGUCAGAAAGAGCAUGUUUGCAUAGUUACUGUACUACUACCUCCAUUCCAAAAUAUAAGGCAUUUUGGUAGACUAGUUUAGCAUGCCAAAACGUCUUAUAUUUUAGAACGGAGGUAGUACAAAUUAAUGCCUACAUGCAUCCUGGCAGUAUUCAACAGGCCUGGCAGUUCAUUUCUUUGCUAGCACGGACGAUCUCUGUUAUCUGCGCUACAAAUUGCAGGCAAAGGACAUAGCAGCUCACUCUGAAGCUGAGUUAUAUUCAGAGCUGUAUCAAGUAGGACGUCAGGUUGGUGACAUUUCGUCCAACCUCUACCAGAGUGUUGCUGCUCAACUCUGGUUCAACAACUGCAGGCAUGCAGCACUAUGUUGGCGAAACAUAGCAGAAACUGACUGGUGUUGUGCCAAAUGAUCAAAGCAUUGGCUGGUUUGCUGAAACAGAAUAUUGCUCUCAUGCUCUGUGUCCCGUAAAAAGAAAGAUUGGUAACAUCUCGUCAAGUUAUUGUGCAAUCACUGGUUUUGUGACGUUGUGAUGAUGUUGGGCAGUUACAUGUUGUGUGGACUGCUACUUUUUUAAUGGGGUUUCAUCCGUCUA